AAGCCUCUGGUUUUGUUUUCACUUGCUGCGGUAUAGUUAUAUAUAUAUAUAUAUAUAUGCUUCUCCCCCACAGAGGGACUCAACAAAAUAGAAAGAAUUCUCAAGUCUCUUUUACAACUCAAAAUCUUAUAUUCAACAAACAAAUUCUUGAACAUAAUGAGUUCUACAGGCAGAGCAUGGAUUGCAGCAGCCAGUGUGGGAGCUGUGGAGGCAUUGAAAGAUCAGGGUUUUUGUAGAUGGAAUUACACAUUCAGAUUAAUCCAACAGCACGCUAAGAACAAUAUUAGAUCCUACUCGCAGGCCAAGAAAGUCUCUCCCCAGUCAUCUUCUAUGGUUUCGAAUAAGUUGAAAGAAGAAAAAAUGAGGCAAUCUGAAGAAUCGCUCAGAACGGUCAUGUAUUUGAGCAGUUGGGGGCCCAAUUGAGAGUUGCUGACAGUAUUUGUAAAUAGAGAAAUUAGAAAAAUCGUACUAUGUUUUGUUGAAUUUCAUGAGAGUUAUUCUUGUAAUAGUAAGGAAAGAAGAAGGGUGAAGAAAAAUGAAUUUUCCAUCUCUUUUCUUUGCCUCUUCAUUGAUAAAGUGAGAAGGGAAAUUUUAUUUUGAAUUACUUCGCAGCACUUUUCCAAAAGAUCUGAAAAAAUUACAUGCAGUGGAAUUCUCCCUAGAAUAUGGUACUCAAUUUGUAGUAGAAUUUUCUCAUUGCAAAGUCGAGAGAGUACAAAUUUAUUUUCAAUACACUCCUCACAUAUG
rnacentral:lncRNA from 1 species